UCUGUCCAAGAAAGGGCAACCUUCUCUUUGCGUCGUCAUACUCCACGACAAUCUCGGAGCCGUCAACUACGCCCUUAAUUCACUGCGACUUGAAUUGGAGUAUGGAGAAGCUUUUUUCGAUUUUUUCCACGUCAAGAAUUGCAUCUAACGCAACAACGAGGAAACGCCACUCUUGUGGGCUGUGGAAAAUGUCGCCAGCUACCACAUAACCAUUUCGAGAUUUCUCCAGAUGGAACCAAUCACAUUCGACAUGAAGGAUGCCCAAGGCUCCACCAAACAUCGUCUGGUGAACAGAAUUUCAAUCCGCAAUUGGACGAGCAAGUCAUCAACAACGACCAUUCGGUUCGUCCAUUUCCAAUCUUCCGCUCAGCCAAGAGCCUUUUUUUCAUCAAAUACCCUUGGAUUCUUGAAGAUAUCGUGGCCAUAAAUCAACCCCUGCCAGCCGACUGGCAGGAGAAACACGUCCAGAUGCUGUUUCAGCGCGAUAUACUC